rnacentral:rRNA from 1 species
CCUACGGGAGGCAGCAGUGAGGAAUAUUGGUCAAUGGACGCAAGUCUGAACCAGCCAUGCCGCGUGCAGGAAGACGGCUCUAUGAGUUGUAAACUUCUUUUGUACGAGGGUAAACGCAGAUACGCGUAUCUGUCUGAAAGUAUCGUACGAAUAAGGAUCGGCUAACUCCGUGCCAGCAGCCGCGGUAAUACGGAGGAUUCAAGCGUUAUCCGGAUUUAUUGGGUUUAAAGGGUGCGUAGUCGGUCGGAUAAGUUAGAGGUGAAAUCCCGAGGCUCAACUUCGGAAUUGCCUGUGAUACUGUGCGGCUAGAGAGUAGUUGCGGUAGGCGGAAUGUAUGGUGUAGCGGUGAAAUGCUUAGAGAUCAUACAGAACACCGAUUGCGAAGGCAGCUUACCAAGCUACUACUGACGUUGAGGCACGAAAGCGUGGGGAGCAAACAGGAUUAGAUACCCCAGUAGUC